GUUUUGAUAGCUUAAUUAAAGCAUAGCACUGAAAAUGCUAAGAUGUACCCUAAAAAGUCCUCUAAACA
rnacentral:tRNA from 1 species